rnacentral:rRNA from 1 species
AGAGUUUGAUCCUGGCUCAGGAUGAACGCUGGCGGCGUGCUUAACACAUGCAAGUCGAGCGAAGCGGUUUUGGAAGUCUUCGGACGGAAAAGAGCGACUGAGCGGCGGACGGGUGAGUAACGCGUGGGUAACCUGCCUCGUACAGGGGGAUAACAGUUAGAAAUGACUGCUAAUACCGCAUAAGGCCACAGCACCGCAUGGUGCAGGGGUAAAAACUCCGCGG